GGGAAAUGGAGUUCUUGGAAAGACCUGAUGCUCAAUUGAUUAUUGGGGUUGCUGUUGCAGCUGUUGCUGUUGGUGCUACAGCUUAUUUUUACUUCUCUUCCAAGAAGUCCAAAGUAUGUUUGAACCCUGAAGAAUUCAGGGCAUUUAAGCUUGUUAAGCGCACACAACUUAGCCAUAAUGUGGCGAAAUUUAGAUUUGAACUUCCGACGCCCACUUCUGUGUUGGGGCUACCCAUUGGACAACAUAUUAGUUGCAGGGGCAAAGAUAGUCAAGGUGAAGAGGUUGUUAAACCAUACACACCAACUACUUUGGACUCUGACAUUGGAUACUUUGAGUUAGUUAUAAAGAUGUAUCCCCAAGGAAGGAUGUCACAUCAUUUCCGGGAAAUGCGCGAGGGUGAUUACAUGGAAGUGAAGGGACCCAAGGGGCGCUUUAAGUACCAUCCUGGUCAAGUUAGAGCAUUUGGAAUGCUUGCAGGAGGCUCUGGCAUUACCCCGAUGUUCCAGGUUGCUAGAGCUAUUCUUGAAAAUCCCAACGACGUGACGAAGGUGCACCUGAUAUAUGCUAAUGUUACUUCUGAAGAUAUUCUUCUGAAGGAAGAGUUGGAGGGCCUUACUGUUAACUAUCCUGACCGUUUCAAAGUUUAUUACGUCUUGAAUCAGCCUCCUGAAGAAUGGAGUGGUGGUGUGGGAUUUGUCUCCAAAGAAAUGAUCCAAGCUCAUUGCCCUGCCCCGGCAGAUGAUAUUAAGAUACUGAGGUGUGGUCCACCACCGAUGAACAAGGCAAUGGCUGCUCAUCUUGAAGCCCUCGGAUACUCACCGGAGAUGCAAUUCCAAUUCUAACUUGUUUUUUUCUUGUUUUCAUCUUUAUCCCCGCGUUGAAAUUAUUGCGAAUUAUAGUCUGGAGAAAGACAUAUUGACAUUGUCAUUUUUCAGUGAAGAGACUCAUAAACCUGCUUUUCAUUUUGAAUAACA
rnacentral:misc_RNA from 1 species